rnacentral:lncRNA from 1 species
UUCCAAAACUACCAGAUUCUCAGAUGGUUUCGAUUUGGAAUUGGUGCUGAGGUAAGUUAGAAAUAUACACAUAAAUAAGUACAUACUAAAAAACAGGUGGAGUAAUUGAUCACAUAUUGUCAUGUUUUGUCAUCUGUUUCGUUUACCUGUCUGUCCUGAAGUGAAUGUUAUUUUUCACAAAUUUUGAAUCUAGAUAUUUAGCUUCUUGUGUGUUACUAGCCACCUCAAAAUUUAUACAUAUCCCUCAUUAUUACAUUGAAAUUUAUGUGUAUCACUCACUCUUUGGUCCUUUAAAUUCUUGAUGCAGGUAAUUUUUAACAUUUAUCCCAUUUUUGGUCUAUUAGUAUUGAAGGUUUCCGGUUUUGCUGAACUUUUUCUAGACAUGGCUGCCAUAACAAUGUAAGUGCCUUUUAUUUUUUGCUAUAGCACUUUCUUUUGGAGUUUGUUGUAGUCUUUCUUUGUUCUAAAGCACGAUACUUUUUUGCAGGUCUUUCAUGGGUGCAAUGACCAAACUGAUAUCGGUAUACUCAUAUAUCACCAAUGAUUAUUCAAUAUAGGAUUAAGCCUUGUUUUUUAUUUUUUAUUCAAUAUCGAAAUAAAGGAGGCUUUUCUUAGCUGCUCAAGGUGGUGUUUUUGUAAAUGUUUACAUUGAUCAGUUUUGAUUUGAAGUACUAUUGUGGAAACUUCAAUAAUUGUUGGUAAGAAGGUUAUUGUAUUGCUGCGUGACGAUCCUCAGGUAUUGUUAACUUUUAGCAUCAUGUUUUAGUUUAUAUAACAUGAUUGUUCCACACAGCUUGGUUAUAUGAGUGAGAUUUUCUUUUCCUUUUUGUUACAUUUUUAGGUGAAUCCAUGUGUAGCUAUUUAUUGGGAACAAUAGCUCAAAGUUUGGUAUCAAGAAUAAGAAGCUAUCAUGGUUUCUAGAUGAGGAAGAUGAAGGCAUAUUCCAAAGGUAACUCUGAUUAUAGUUGUUUAAGUUGUGUUAGAUGUAUUCAGAUGAAUAGGGAUUGCUCUCUAAUCAUGUUUGCUUUUGUUUUGUCUCUUAAAUCACGACUCUUGAGCUCUACAUAUUUGUAGUAUGAUGUUUCUUGUUUAUUCCAGAUCGAGCAGAGAUGUUGCAGUCUUAUGGUGGAAAACAUUUGAUUAAAUCCGGCGUCACAACGUUAAGGUUACAGUGGUAGGAAGACCACAACUGUCACUUUACAACUUGGCUCCCUUCAAUUAACAAAUAUUUCAAAUUCGCUCCUUUCUUUUUACUU